rnacentral:rRNA from 1 species
AGAGUUUGAUCCUGGCUCAGAUUGAACGCUGGCGGAAUGCUUUACACAUGCAAGUCGAGCGGCAGCGCGGGGCAACCUGGCGGCGAGCGGCGAACGGGUGAGUAAUGCAUCGGAACAUGUCCAUGUCGUGGGGGAUAGCCCGGCGAAAGCCGGAUUAAUACCGCAUAAGCCCGAGAGGGGAAAGCAGGGGACCGCAAGGCCUUGCGCUAUGGGAGCGGCCGAUGUCCGAUUAGCUUGUUGGUGAGGUAAAGGCUUACCAAGGCGAUGAUCGGUAGCUGGUCUGAGAGGAUGAUCAGCCACACUGGGACUGAGACACGGCCCAGACUCCUACGGGAGGCAGCAGUGGGGAAUUUUGGACAAUGGGGGCAACCCUGAUCCAGCCAUUCCGCGUGAGUGAAGACGGCCUUCGGGUUGUAAAGCUCUUUUGUCCGGAGCGAAACGGUUACGGUGAAUAUCCGUGACUACUGACGGUACCGGAAGAAUAAGCACCGGCUAACUACGUGCCAGCAGCCGCGGUAAUACGUAGGGUGCGAGCGUUAAUCGGAAUUACUGGGCGUAAAGCGUGCGCAGGCGGUUUUGUAAGCCAGACGUGAAAUCCCCGGGCUUAACCUGGGAAUGGCGUUUGGGACUGCAAGGCUGGAGUAUGGCAGAGGGGACUAGAAUUCCUGGUGUAGCAGUGAAAUGCGUAGAUAUCAGGAGGAAUACCGAUGGCGAAGGCAGGUCCCUGGGCUAAUACUGACGCUCAUGCACGAAAGCGUGGGGGAGCAAACAGGAUUAGAUACCCUGGUAGUCCACGCCCU